AGACGAGGUUUCACCAUGUUAGCCAGGAUGGUCUCCAUCUCCUGAUCUCGUGAUCUGCCCACCUCAGCCUGGGAUUACAGAUGAUCACGUCUGUUCGCUUCCAGUCCUCAGAUACCUUAGAUACUUUGUUUCUUUUUCUUGCCUUAUAACAUCAGUCACGACUUUCAGCUCCAUGUUAAAGAACAGCAGAGUUAUAAGGAACAAGGAGCUGAAGAAUGCCAUAAAUAAAAACUUUUACAGAAAAUUCUGUCUUCUAAGCUCCUGAGCGCCAGUUUGGUGGUGAUAAAAUAUAAUAAUGUGUAUCUCCAUAGGGCUGUUGUAAGGGUUCAGGUAUGUGAAAAUAUGUGUUUGAUACCUACUAGCUGUUGUUUUCCCUUCCCUUUUUGCUUAGGCUCAAGUGAUCAUAAUCUUUUCUUUAUGAGCCAUUGUGAUGACCUUUAUCCCAUUAUCUGUGCCUAGAAAUGUGUUUUCUGUCCAUGGAGAGGUGGGGAUCAUCACAUGGAUGUAUCUGGGCACUUACGAACACAGUUCUUCUUGAAUGGACAGGCAAAAAAGAUUUUAUUUUCCCCUAGUGUAAGAAAAAGCAAGAAUAACAUGAUAGUCAUAAAUGCCACCCAGCAUUGAGUUUUUUCUAUGUAUUGGCACUGUGUCCAAUGU
rnacentral:sRNA from 1 species